CUUUAUUGGAGAGUUUGAUCCUGGCUCAGGAUGAACGCUGGCGGCGUGCCUAAUACAUGCAAGUCGAGCGAAUAGAUUAAGAGCUUGCUCUUAUGAAGUUAGCGGCGGACGGGUGAGUAACACGUGGGUAACCUGCCCAUAAGACUGGGAUAACUCCGGGAAACCGGGGCUAAUACCGGAUAA
rnacentral:rRNA from 1 species